GAUGAACGCUGGCGGCGUGCCUAAUACAUGCAAGUCGAGCGAACAGACGAGGAGCUUGCUCCUCUGACGUUAGCGGCGGACGGGUGAGUAACACGUGGAUAACCUACCUAUAAGACUGGGAUAACUUCGGGAAACCGGAGCUAAUACCGGAUAAUAUAUUGAACCGCAUGGUUCAAUAGUGAAAGACGGUUUUGCUGUCACUUAUAGAUGGAUCCGCGCCGCAUUAGCUAGUUGGUAAGGUAACGGCUUACCAAGGCAACGAUGCGUAGCCGACCUGAGAGGGUGAUCGGCCACACUGGAACUGAGACACAGUCCAGACUCCUACGGGAGGCAGCAGUAGGGAAUCUUCCGCAAAGGGCGAAAGCCUGACGGAGCAACGCCGCGUGAGUGAUGAAGGUCUUCGGAUCGUAAAACUCUGUUAUUAGGGAAGAACAAAUGUGUAAGUAACUAUGCACGUCUUGACGGUACCUAAUCAGAAAGCCACGGCUAACUACGUG
rnacentral:rRNA from 1 species